GUGCCAGCCGCCGCGGUAAUACGUAGGGUGCGAGCGUUGUCCGGAUUUAUUGGGCGUAAAGGGCUCGUAGGUGGUUGAUCGCGUCGGAAGUGUAAUCUUGGGGCUUAACCCUGAGCGUGCUUUCGAUACGGGUUGACUUGAGGAAGGUAGGGGAGAAUGGAAUUCCUGGUGGAGCGGUGGAAUGCGCAGAUAUCAGGAGGAACACCAGUGGCGAAGGCGGUUCUCUGGGCCUUUCCUGACGCUGAGGAGCGAAAGCGUGGGGAGCGAACAGGCUUAGAUACCCUGGUAGUCCACGCUGUAAACGGUGGGUACUAGGUGUGGGGUCCAUUCCACGGGUUCCGUGCCGUAGCUAACGCUUUAAGUACCCCGCCUGGGGAGUACGGCCGCAAGGCUAAAACUCAAAGGAAUUGACGGGGCCCCGCACAAGCGGCGGAGCAUGCGGAUUAAUUCGAUGCAACGCGUAGAACCUUACCUGGGUUUGACAUGGAUCGGGAGUGCUCAGAGAUGGGUGUGCCUCUUUUGGGGUCGGUUCACAGGUGGUGCAUGGCUGUCGUCAGCUCGUGUCGUGAGAUGUUGGGUUAAGUCCCGCAACGAGCGCAACCCUUGUUCACUGUUGCCAGCACGUUAUGGUGGGGACUCAGUGGAGACCGCCCGGGGUCAACUCGGAGGAGGUGGGGAUGACGUCAAGUCAUCAUGCCCCUUAUGUCCAGGGCUUCACGCAUGCUACAAUGGGCUGGUACAGAGAGUGGCGAGCCUGUGAGGUGAGCGAAUCUCGGAAAAGCCGGUCUCAGUUUCGGAUUGGGGUCUGCAACUUCGACCUCAUGAAG
rnacentral:rRNA from 1 species